GACGAACGCUGGCGGCGUGCUUAACACAUGCAAGUCGAACGGAAAGGCCCUGCUUUUGUGGGGUGCUCGAGUGGCGAACGGGUGAGUAACACGUGAGUAACCUGCCCUUGACUUUGGGAUAACUUCAGGAAACUGGGGCUAAUACCGGAUAGGAGCUCCUGCUGCAUGGUGGGGGUUGGAAAGUUUCGGCGGUUGGGGAUGGACUCGCGGCUUAUCAGCUUGUUGGUGGGGUAGUGGCUUACCAAGGCUUUGACGGGUAGCCGGCCUGAGAGGGUGACCGGCCACAAGAGUACUGAGAUACGGCCCAGACUCCUACGGUAGGCAGCAGUGGGGAAUAUUGCACAGUGGGCGGAAGCCUGAUGCAGCAACGCCGCGUGCGGGAUGACGGCCUUCGGGUUGUAAACCGCCUUCGCCUGUGACGAAGCGUGAGUGACGGUAAUGGGUAAAGAAGCACCGGCUAACUACGUG
rnacentral:rRNA from 1 species